GAUGAACGCUGGCGGCGUGCCUAAUACAUGCAAGUCGAGCGAACAGAUAAGGAGCUUGCUCCUUUGACGUUAGCGGCGGACGGGUGAGUUACACGUGGAUAACCUACCUAUAAGACUGGGAUAACUUCGGGAAACCGGAGCUAAUACCGGAUAACAUAUUGAACCGCAUGGUUCAAUAGUGAAAGGCGGCUUUGCUGUCACUUAUAGAUGGAUCCGCGCCGUAUUAGCUAGUUGGUAAGGUAACGGCUUACCAAGGCAACGAUACGUAGCCGACCUGAGAGGGUGAUCGGCCACACUGGAACUGAGACACGGUCCAGACUCCUACGGGAGGCAGCAGUAGGGAAUCUUCCGCAAUGGGCGAAAGCCUGACGGAGCAACGCCGCGUGAGUGAUGAAGGUCUUCGGAUCGUAAAACUCUGUUAUCAGGGAAGAACAAAUGUGUAAGUAACGGUGCACAUCUUGACGGUACCUGAUCAGAAAGCCACGGCUAACUACGU
rnacentral:rRNA from 1 species